UGACGUAUAUAUCCCCAUGCAUAAAGUUUUUUCUUCACUUCAAGUUUUGCAUGCACAUUUGAACCGCGAGGCGUCAUGGAAAGCAGAUGUUGUUCGAAUGAUAUGGAACAAGACUAUACAUAUAGACGACAAGUAUAAACAUUUGCAAUUUUGCAAUGCAAAACAAAGUUGUUGCCUUCAACUAUCACCAAUGAAAAGUAUCGUUUGUUUUCUUCUGGUUACCAAAAUACGUCUCAUUUGAUUGCUCAUGUAUUUGAACAAGUUGAUAAAAAUCAAGACUGUCAACAUCUAUGAAUAUAAUUGAACAAGAAUUGGAAUCUUCGAAUUUGAAGAAACUUUUCGAAAACAUAGAAAAAUGCAGUUGAAAAUGCGUUCAUAUUACUGAAGUACAAAAGAAGAAAGGAAACGAUUGGUUAAUGUUUGCAACACUACUUCGUAAUAGGCAAUAAUUUGGGCACAAUCCGAUCAACAGCAAGAGGCCUUUGCCGAUAUUUGUGAGAUAAUAAGAUUGAUAUGUUACCACGUGGAGAGGAGAAACCAAGUCAAGUGAGUUUCAAUGGACAUACCGCACCAUAUCUUUACAAUUGAAAGCCACUGGUAAAUUAUAUACAGAUGAAUUUUAUUAGUCCGAAAUGUUGAUAGCAGCUGCAAAUGAAAUUUAAGCGAGAAAAACCAUUUUGAAAUGUAUUUCACAUGUAUUUGCUUCGAUAUUAUGUAUGCACGAAAAGAGAUCCUAUGGCUGGAAACUACAAAUUUCUUGGGAAACCUCAGGGUAAACAGAACGCCUUUAAACCCUCUUCUAACCUCAUGCCUUGCACGACAUGACUACAAGAUUCAAUGAAUUUUGGACAGAACUAAAGUCUAGUUUCAAAAUUUAUCGUCUCAAGAAUCUUAGGCUUCAUCUACACUAUACCGGAUUCGCUCAUCACGACAUCUUCGUUCCCUUUAAAGGAGUAACUGUUUGGAGUAAAAGCUCGUUAAGUUUAUAGAUUUAGUCUAUUUGGUUGUGUUUCUGACGUUGAACAAUUUCACUGCCUUUCAAUACAAAGAAAAUUUAACCUGCUACGAUAUUUAUCCGGUAUAGUGUAAACGGGGUCUUAUCCUAUCCCAUCAUAUCAUCGUUAUUUAGCAUUACGACAUUAAAAUGCAAAUAAAUCUGAAGAUU